rnacentral:rRNA from 1 species
UAGCGGAGGAAAAGAAACCAACCGGGAUUGCCUCAGUAACGGCGAGUGAAGCGGCAAGAGCUCAAAUUUGAAAGCUGGCUCCUUCGGGGUCCGCAUUGUAAUUUGCAGAGGAUGCUUCGGGUGCGGCCCCUGUCUAAGUGCCCUGGAACGGGCCGUCAGAGAGGGUGAGAAUCCCGUCUGGGAUGGGGUGUCCGCGCCCGUGUGAAGCUCCUUCGACGAGUCGAGUUGUUUGGGAAUGCAGCUCUAAAUGGGUGGUAAAUUUCAUCUAAAGCUAAAUACUGGCCGGAGACCGAUAGCGCACAAGUAGAGUGAUCGAAAGAUGAAAAGCACUUUGAAAAGAGAGUUAAAAAGCACGUGAAAUUGUUGAAAGGGAAGCGCUUGCGACCAGACUCGCCUCCAGGGUUCAGCCGGCAUUCGUGCCGGUGUACUUCCCUGGGGGCGGGCCAGCGUCGGUUUGGGCGGCCGGUCAAAGGCUCCCGGAAUGUAGUGCCCUCCGGGGCACCUUAUAGCCGGGAGUGCAAUGCGGCCAGCCUGGACCGAGGAACGCGCUCG